rnacentral:misc_RNA from 1 species
UUUCCGUAGGUGAACCUGCGGAAGGAUCAUUAAUGAGAAGCGGUUUCGGCCGUGGGGGCUUCGGCCCCCGACUCACACCCUUUGUCUACCUACCUUUGUUGCUUUGGCGGGCCCGUGCCACGGCGCUGCGCCGGCACGACCGUGCCCGUCAGAGACCCAUUUAAUUCUGUCUAUCAGUGUUGUCCGAGCAAGAACCUGAAUAGUAAAAACUUUCAACAACGGAUCUCUUGGUUCUGGCAUCGAUGAAGAACGCAGC